rnacentral:piRNA from 1 species
UGCACUUUGACCUUUGAAAAGUCGCAA